UACGUAGGGGGCAAGCGUUGUCCGGAAUUACUGGGCGUAAAGGGCGCGUAGGCGGUUAAUCAAGUCAGAUGUGAAAGUCCCCGGCUUAACCGGGGGAGUGCAUUUGAAACUGGAUAACUUGAGUGCAGGAGAGGAAAGCGGAAUUCCUAGUGUAGCGGUGAAAUGCGUAGAUAUUAGGAGGAACACCAGUGGCGAAGGCGGCUUUCUGGACUGUAACUGACGCUGAGGCGCGAAAGCGUGGGGAGCAAACAGG
rnacentral:rRNA from 1 species